CUUUGGGAUAACCACCGGAAACGGUGGCUAAUACCGGAUAUGACGGGCUCCGGCAUCGGGGUUCGUGGAAAGUUUUUCGGCCAGGGAUGUGCUCGCGGCCUAUCAGCUUGUUGGUGGGGUAAUGGGCCUACCAAGGCUUCGACGGGUAGCCGGCCUGAGAGGGUGACCGGCCACACUGGGACUGAGACACGGCCCAGACUCCUACGGGAGGCAGCAGUGGGGAAUAUUGGACAAUGGGCGGAAGCCUGAUCCAGCAACGCCGCGUGAGGGAUGACGGCCUUCGGGUUGUAAACCUCUUUCAGUACCGACGAAGCGCCGAUGAUGGUGGUGACGGUAGGUACAGAAGAAGCACCGGCCAACUACGUG
rnacentral:rRNA from 1 species